rnacentral:lncRNA from 1 species
UGGUAAGAGAACAUCUAGGUGAUGGACAAUGUUGCCAAUUAAAAUAUUUGCAGCUGCUUUGCUGUAUUAGGUUUCUUAGUUUCAUCUGUCUUCCAAAAUCUCAUUCAUUUCCAUUGCAUUAGUAAGUUGAUGUUUUCCUCUCAUUUGUUUGACCAGUAACUUGAAUGCUUAAUGUAGUCUGGGUGGAUUGGAGUAUAAUAUGCUUUUUCAUGAAGGGAGUUACUCAACCUUAACUUAGAAUUAGUUAUAUUAAUUUUUCUCCUUACACCUAGAGUUCAUGUCAUAGUUCAGUUUGUAUUUCCGCUGUUGCGGAAGAUCUUGGGCAUCACGGGAUAAUCUUGCUCGUGAGUAUCUUGAUGUGAUGAUUGAAAAGUUUGUUAUGCUAGCUUUUCCUUACUGUUGCUGUUCACAUGGAAUCUUGAAAGUAAAUUUGUUAUUUGUUCUGUUGCAGAUGAGCUUGUCCUGAAGGACAGAGGUUUGCCCAUAUCGAAGAGUUUAUCCUUGUUUUUGUCGUACUAAUUGCUUCAGACCUUCAUGUUCCUGGUUACCUUUUUUUUCCCAACUAGUUUUAUUCCUUCAUUAAUCUCUUAAUAAUUCUUUAUAUUUACUUCACCAGAAUAUUGUUUUGAUCAGGAAGGCAGAACAGAGCCUCACUUCUGCUGAUACCCUAGGAGACAAAGCAUGUUGGGAACAACAUGGAUGCUAUGUUGAUAAGUGGUUGUGCAGCUGAUAUGCUGUGCUAAGUUUCUUAUCUAUGUUCCAAAAUCUUAUUGAACCUCAUUAGUUCCUGUUGUACCAGUAACCUAGUGAUUUCCUCUCACUUGUUUGACCAGUACCAAGGUUUUAACUUUUAAAUACCAGUGGGACAGUGGGAACAUUGAGUGCUCAAGACAGUCUGGGUGGAUUCGAGCAUGAUAUGCAUUUUCCAUGAUGGAUGUGCCUCAACCUUGAUUGUAGAAUUUGUUCUAUUACAUUUCUUUCCCUCAUGCUUAGAGUACCUGUCAUAGGCUAGUUUGUUAUUUCUGAUGUUGUAGAAGAGCUUGUGCGAGAUUGGAUGCCUGAGGGCAUCUUUGAUUGAAUGAUGGAAGACAGUUUGGAGGAAACAGAUUAUAAUGAUAUAUAUGCUUUUGGUGGAGGGUGUUCCUCAACCUUUAUUAUGGAAUUGAUAUUAUUUCCCAUUUGUUCUUAAACUGAGAUCACGUCAUAGGAUUGUUAUUUCUGAUGUCACAGAAGAGCUUGCACAACAUCAGGUUAUCUUGCUUAAGGGCAUCUUUGCCUGAUAAUAAAGACAGUCUGAAGGAAAUGGAUCAUCAUGAUAUGAUUUUUUUUUAUGAAGGGGGUUUUUCAUCUUUGAUAGCGGAGGUAUUAUACUGCUUUUUCCUACACUAGCUGUUCUUGGGGAAUGAAAGUUACCUGUAUGGUUUGUGUUGUUGCAGUAACUUGUACUGCAGAUUGUGAUUUUGCACAUGUGGAAGGGUUUGUCCGUAUUUAUAGUUGGCCAUUUUCAACAUUAAUUGAUAAUUUGUUAAUCUUUGUUCUAAGCACUUACAGGUAACUGGGAUUAAGAAAGGGUUUUUCAUGAUGGUGCUUUCUUGCUUCCACAAAUUCUUUAGGAGUCAAAACAUGUUGGAAAUAACAUUUAUACUAUGUUGAUAAGUAGUUUUGUAGCUGAUAUGCUGUAUGAAUUUUUUUAGUUUCAUCUUUUUUCCAUGAUCUCAUUCAUCCCUGUUGCAUUAGUGACCUGGCGAGCUUCUCUCAUUUGUUUGACUUCCUUGAGCGCUUGAGAGAUUUUGGGUGAAUGAGAGAAGGUAUGGUUUUAUUAUGGAGGGGGUUCCUCAACCUUGUUAAUUUGUUAUUUCCGGCAUUGCAGAGGAGCUUGUUUUUUGCGGGCCAUCUUGCUCAAAGGUAUCCUUGAUCUGAUAAUGGAAAAUAGUUUAGAGGAAUGAAGUGAUGAAGGGUGUUUGUCAUUUUUGAUGGUGGAGUAAAUAUUUCUGUUCUCUCCUGCACUAGCUGUUCAAACUGAGGAGGUUAAUUUAUUAUUUGUUCUGUUGCAGAGUUUGUGCUGUGAAUUUCAAUUUUACCCUUGUGGAAGGGUUUGUCCUAAUUUAUAUCAUAGUUUUUGUUUGUAUCCCUUUGUGUUCCUAAUUUCCAUUUUUCAAUCUUAAUUUGGAAUCUGUUGAUUCAUAUUCUCACUUCUCAGUACUCUGGUUGUUUGCUUUUCAGAGCACCUCAGUUUGAGCAGUGAAGGCAACAUGGAGUGUUAAGAGUUAGAAAGAAAUUUUCAUGAACCACUUUGAAGGGAAAGUUUUGGAUCUUUCAAUUUAUGUUGUGACGUUCAGGUCCAUAAGAUACCACAGCUUUUGGUGUUCUAUGAUUCACCGAAAUGAGUUAGUUGUUCGAUCCUUUUGAUUCUUAUCUUCCUAGUAAACAGGCUUCCUGAGCAAUAGGUGGAUUUACAUAUGAAUUUGAUUGUGCUAUUUUUCUCCCUUUAUCUACAGUGUUAAAUUAAAGAGUUGAAGAAUAAUUAACUAAUAUUUCCGUCACAGAAGUAAUUCUGUUUUGGGUGACAUUUUUGGCUGAGAGCAUUUCAUUUUGGUAUGCUAUUUAUUGUAUUAUUGUUAUCAAUUUAUGGACUGUUAGUAUCUUGAUUGCUUGUUUAUCAAGAAUGUGGCAUAUGGGAUGCACAUUUUUUUUUUGAUAAGGACUCGAACUUUUUGAUCUUGUUGGUAACAGCAGCACUGAAGGGAAAAUGCAAACAUGGAGCUGGGAGAGGGAGGGGUAAGGAAAUGCGGGUGGGGGGAAACGUGGAUGGUCUGAUACACCUCAUGCAUGGAGGCAUUAAGGGAGUUGGUGUUAUAUAGUAGAAUAGAUAAUGGGGUUAUUAUAGGCUAUGGAGGUAAGUAGAUUCUGGCUUUGGUUAUCCAUGAUGAUCCCCUUUUCUUAUAUUCAUAGGGUUUAAGCUAUCUGCUAGCUCGUAUUCAUCUUCAUGCAGUGCCAGUUCUUUAGGAGCCAAAGCAUAUGACAGGGAGGCUAUUUUGUUAAGUGGCUUUGUAGCUGACUAGCAGAUAUCUCUUGGUUCCAGAAUAUCAUUCAUUCCUAUUGAUCUAGUAAGCUGGUGAUCAUCUCUCAUUUCUUUGACCUGCUCCUUGGUUGUUAUAGGAUGUACACUCUAAUUGGAGCAUGAUAUGACCUUUCUCAUUUGCGUCAUUCUUAACCUUGAUUUAAGAAUCAGUUAUAGUUGUUUUCUCCUGAUUCUUAGUGUUCAUGUGAUAGGAUAACUUGUUAUUUCUGUUGUUGCUGAAAGGCUUGCGCAACAGGGAACAAUCUUUCUCGGGGGCAUCUUGAUCUCGGAGGCUAUAUGAAAGAUUGGAGUUUAAGGUUGUGAUUUUUUAUCAAGGGGGAAUGCUAUGUUUGUUAGUGGAGCUUGCUGUAAUUUUUUUUCCCUACACAAACUAUUCACAUGGAAGAUUAAUUUAGUAUUUCUGCUGUUGCAGAUGUGCUUAUAUUGUAGAUGCAAAUUUUCAAAGGCAGAAGAGCUGAGUUCAUCCUUAUAUCCUAGUCAUUGUUUAUGUGCAUUUGUGCACCUAAUAGUCAUCUUUUUCCAUUAUUGGCUUGUGUUCUCUUAAUGGAUCUGGUCCCUUGGUAGGUUUUGGAAAAUGCUGGAUUAUGAUUUGUAAUGGGCUUCUUUUUCUUCCCGUUGGAUUUGCGCUAUACUUUUUCUUUCCUUGAUAAUCAUGCUAUUAUAUUUUGUUGGCAGUGGUGUCUUAGAACCGAUAUAAGUUCUUCUAUUGAUAAGUGACUUAGUAGCUGCUUCACUUAAAUCUGGGUUUGUUUUUUCAUCCUUGUUCCAAUUACUCAAAUAUUUUUUUAUUAUUGGUAAUGGAGCACUCCAAGUGGAGCAGUGAUUUUUCAUGCAUUGUUGUGUAUGGGAAUUGAUAUAUAAUAUAUUCUGCUACUACUGAGUGACUUAGUAUCUGUUAGUCUAUUCUGUUCAUCGUUGUUCCUAAUGCUCAACUUUUGAAGGCACCCUGGGGAAUGGAAGGGGCUUAAUGGCUUAUGCCAUUUCAUUGUAUUUUAAUCAUCAUUUACAGACUGUUGGCUCCUUAAUUUCAUUAUCAGUAUCAAGAUUAUUGAUGGUUUUACUCUAUUGUUGCUUGCAAGCAGAUGUAGAUUUCUUGAAGAUUUUCUUUAUUAAGGUAUGUGACUUUCUUGAACAGUUGCUGCACUCUUUUUGAUUUGAAUGCUUAAUGUAGUCUGGGUGGAUUGGAGUAUGAUAUGCUUUUUCAUGGAGUUCCUCAACUUUGACUUAGAAUUAGUAAUAUUAAUUUUUCUCCUUACACCUAGAGUUCAUGUGAUAGGUUUUGUAUUUCCACUGUUGUAGAAGAUCUUGGGCAUCAUGGGAUAAUCUUGCUCAUGCGUAUCUUGAUAUGAUUAUUGAAAAGUUUGUUAUGCUAGCUUUUUCCUACUGUAGCUGUUCAUGUGGAAUCAUGAAAGUAAAUUUAUUAUUUGUUCUGUUGCAGAUGAGCUUGUCCUGUAGGACAGAGAGUUGCCCAUAUCGAAGAGUUUGUCCUUGUUUAUGUCAUACAAGUUGUUUAAUACCUUUAUGUUCCUGAUUACCUUUAUUUCGCUGGUUUUAUUCCUUAUGGUUAAUCUCUUAAUAAUUCUUUAUGUUCCUGUACCAUGUUUCUUAUCUAUGUUCCAAAAUCUUAUUAAACGUCAUUAGUUCCUGUUGCACCAGUGACCUAGUGACUUCUUCUCAUUUGUUUGACCAGCACUGAUGUUUUAAAUACUGGUGAGACUGUGGGGACCUUGAGUGCUUAAGACAGUCUGGGUGGAUUGGAGCAUGAUAUGUAUUUUUCGAGGGGGUUCCUCAACCUUGGAUUGUAGAAUUUGUUCUAUGCAUUUUUUCCCCUUUUAUGCUUAUAAAUUAUACUACAUGUCAUUGGCUAGUUUGCUAUUUCUGAUGUUGCAGAAGACCUUGUGCGACAUUGGACUAUCUUGCCUGAGGGCAUCUUGAUCUAAUGAUGGAAGACAGUUUGGAGGAAAAAUAUAUUAUAAUGAUAUGAUUUUUUACGAAAGCGGGUUUCUCAUCUUUGAUACUGAAGUUAUACAAUUUUCUCUUAUACUAGCUGUUCAAGGGGAAAUGUGUAUGUUAAUUUAUUCUUUGUGCUGUUCAUAUGUAGGUCAUGAAUUUGCUUCAAGGACUUGUCGUUGUUUAUGUCACCUUUUGUGUACAUAUCCUUAUGUUCCUAGUUGCCCUUUUUAACAUUAAUUUCUAAUGUCAUGUUUUGCUUCACCGGAAAUUUGAUUUGAUUAGUAAUGGCUGUGCAGAAAUUGGAAUUAAGAAAGGGUUUUCAUGAGGGGGUUCCUUUCUUCCACUAAUUGUUUAGGAGAUAAAGCAUGUUGGAAAUGGCGAGAUAUUAUGUUGACAAGUGGAUUCGCAGCUGAUGUGCUGUAUUUAGUUUUAGUUUCAUGUAUAUUCCAAAAUUUCAUUCAUUUUUAGUUUUAGUUUUAUAUUGAUAUGGACUGUUAGCUCUGUGAUUGCUUGUUUAUCAAUAUUGGAAUUAUUGGUAUGACAGCGAAUAAAAAAGUGCCGUUCAAUUUUAGGUAUUUUUGGGAAUUUUUAUUGAGGUAAUCUUUAAUAAUGGUUAUGAGUCCUAUUUUGAGAUUCCUAUCUUAGGUAUAUAUUGGGUUUGGAUAUUUUUUAUGUCCUUUAAUAUAGGGUCAUCUCAAACUUUUUCUUUUUGGAAAUUUUAGGAUUCGUUAUUUGCCUACGAAGAAUCCUAGUUCGUUUUGAAAGUAAGCCAUGUAAAGUCUACAAAAGGGUUUCUUAGGGUUGAGAAAGCAUUGAGUGUGAUUUCUUGCGAUUUGUCUUGAUUGAAUGAAAGGAUUUCUUUAGUUCAGGAUAGGCAUGUCUAAUCUCUCUUUCUUUCUGUAUCUCUUCUUCUUUUUCUCCUCCUCCUGUUAUUUAACUUUCUUUAUUUCCCGCUUUCCACUAUUCUAUCUUAUUUCUACUCCUAGUCUCAUCCAGUCAGUUGUUGGCACUGUAGAUUGAUUUCUGCAGGAUAUUAAAUUAGAUGGGCAGUGGAGUUAUUCUUUAAACUGUUUAUCCCCUUGCUGUCCUGCAUUGGGUUAGUAAUUCUCUCAUUUGUUUCACCUGGACCUUGAUUCGAUCAAAAUGGGCAGACCAGAGUGAAAUGGUUUUUCAUGCAUUGAUGUAUCUGGAAACUUUCUUAUGUUGGUAAGUGAACUAAGUAGCUGGUCUCAUAUGGGUCUUUCUUUCAUCUUUGUUCCGAUUUCCGACACUCAUUUUUGUUUUGGGUUGGUCUUUUAUUUAUUCUCUUAUUUGCCUCCAUCUGUACGAGUUCUAUAAGUGUUAAAGUAUAUUGGGAAUGGAAUGGAUGCCGUGUCAAUAAGUGGAUUUGUAGCUGAUAUUCUGUAUUGAGUUUGUUUCUGUUGCAUUCAAAAAUCUCAGUUAUUCCUGUUGGACUUCUCAUUUCUUAGAUGAGUACCUUGAUCACUCAAACAGCAUAGAUGAAUUGAGUUUUUUUUUUUUUGGGUGCGCAUGAAUGGGUUUCAUCAACAUGAACUGUAGGAUUGGUUAUACUAGUUUUUCCUGAAAGUGGCGUUCGUCUGAUAUGUUAACUGUGAUUUCUGUCGUUGAAUGAGAGCUUGUGCACCAGGGGAUGAUCUUGCGUGAGGGUAUAUCCUGAUCCAGGAAUUGAGGACCUUAUGGAGAACGGGAGUUCAGUGAUUUGAUUUUUCUGAUCCUCAUGUUUGAUGGUGAAGUAUGUUAUGCUAAUUUUUCCUUGCACUAACUGUUAAAAGAUCAAUUUACUAUUUCUGCUGUUUCAGACAUGCUUGUGUUUGUAUGGCUUAAUCUUCCAAAGGUGGAAGAGUCUGUCCUUGUGGUUAUUGUUUAUAUAUGUUUAUGUUUUUGAUUGCCUUUCCUCCAGCUUCAGUGCAAAGUCUGAAUCAUCUCUCUGUUCUCAGCUUUUUGGAUUUCUUACUGUUUGUGAACCUCGGUUCAAUGGACUUCAUUUUCUCUCAGGAUAUAUAUUGGCUAUUAUGUUUUUUUUUCGGUAUGAUGAUGAUUCCUUGCUUUUGAUAGUUGGAUACUUGGAUUGUUCAUACGAUUUUUUUUUCAUGCUAGUGCUUUUAUUUGAACGGUUAAAUUCUUUUACUAUUUGUGUUGUUGCCAAAGAGAUUGCGUUUUAGGGGACAGUCUGCCUGGAGGGGCUUACAGACUUGUGACAUCCGUUAUACUAUUACGUACAGACGUUUAGCUUCUUUUACACUGGUUUGUCGUGUUGGUUUUCAGUUGGUUGAUAGGUUUGGUAUACGGCAGGGUGCCAAUGUAGGUAACGUCUCAAUUUGCAUAUCGUCGAUGAGCUUUCUUCUUUUCAUUUAGUCGUCUGCAUUAUUGGUGGUGUGAAAAUUCUAAUCGACAUGUGUACUUUCUUGGGCCUAUGCUUUUUCAUGGUCCUUAUUGCUGAUGUGUUCCUGUGUCCGACUGCAUGGUAGAGAGCCGGUGGAGCUACGGAAAAUAGUGUGACAACCGGUCCUGUUUGUGAGAAUGUUUUAUUUUCACUACAAUUGCGCUGCUAGAAAAGGUGAGAAAUGGUGUGAGGAUUCUCCUGAUAGAGUUUUCUCAUAUUGAACGGUUGAGGCAAAGUUCAUGUUAUGUUUUUUUUUUCAUGAAUCGUUGGUUGGAUCGACCAUUUUUUUUUCCGUCUCCUUCCUAUUUAAGUUGGCGUUCCUUUGCCUGAGUUGUCUGGAUUUAUUGGAGAUAGAAGACAGCGGUUGCUUUUCUUCUGCAGUCGGUGUCAGAUUGUUUAGUCCCUCUUCAUUCUUUUUGUCCUCAGUAGGUUAAUUGUGGGUACUUUGUCACGGACCUUAAAAAGAACGUCUAACUUCGGCGUCAUCCUGCUUUAUGCGUGCUGUUUCAAUAUUUUUUAUAGCUACU